GACAUUUGGUAAACAUUUCUAUUUCAGAAGGAAGGAAUGGGCCAAAAGCAAGGAAAGACAGGUCCCAAGCAAAUCUGAAACUCAGCAGAGCAGACAGUAAGUCUUAAAGCUCCAGAAAUGAACUCCUUUAACUCCAUGUCCUACAUCCUGGGCACACCGGUGAGAGUCAUAGGAGGUGAUUGGAGCUCUGCCUGGCAAAACAUGAUGGAUUGAUCAUGAGCCAUUUCUUCUGCCACAAAUAAAAAUGUUUUGGCUCCUA